rnacentral:tRNA from 1 species
CACCAGGAAGCUAAACAGGGUGUAGCGUUAGCCUUUUAAGCUAAAAAUUGGUGCCCCCCAACCACCUCUGGUGA